AACUGAAGGGAAUGCUUAGUGGCGGACUGGUGAGUAACGCGUGAGGAACCUGCCUUUCAGAGGGGGACAACAGUUGGAAACGACUGCUAAUACCGCAUGAUGCAUAUUGACCGCAUGGUCGGUAUGUCAAAGAUUUAUCGCUGAAAGAUGGCCUCGCGUCUGAUUAGCUUGUUGGUGAGGUAACGGCCCACCAAGGCGACGAUCAGUAGCCGGACUGAGAGGUUGACCGGCCACAUUGGGACUGAGAUACGGCCCAGACUCC
rnacentral:rRNA from 1 species